rnacentral:rRNA from 1 species
UACAGAGGUCUCGAGCGUUGUUCGGAUUCAUUGGGCGUAAAGGGUGCGUAGGUGGCGCUGUAAGUCGGGUGUGAAAUCCUGAGGCUUAACCUCGGAACUGCAUUCGAUACUGCGGCGCUUGAGGACUGGAGAGGAGACUGGAAUUCAUGGUGUAGCAGUGAAAUGCGUAGAGAUCAUGAGGAAGACCAGUGGCGAGGGCAGGUCUCUGGACAGUUCCUGACACUGAGGCACGAAGGCCAGGGGAGCAAACGGG